UUCCCAUUCCGAACACGGCAGUUAAGCUCUUCAGCGCCGAUGGUAGUUGGGGGUUUCCCCCUGUGAGAGUAGGACGCCGCCAAGC
rnacentral:rRNA from 1 species